rnacentral:rRNA from 1 species
ACUUGAACUUCGGUUUGGGUGGCGGACGGGUGAGUAACGCGUAAAGAACUUGCCUCACAGUUAGGGACAACAUUUGGAAACGAAUGCUAAUACCUGAUAUUAUGAUUUUAGGGCAUCUUAGGAUUAUGAAAGCUAUAUGCGCUGUGAGAGAGCUUUGCGUCCCAUUAGCUAGUUGGAGAGGUAACGGCUCACCAAGGCGAUGAUGGGUAGCCGGCCUGAGAGGGUGAACGGCCACAAGGGGACUGAGACACGGCCCUUACUCCUACGGGAGGCAGCAGUGGGGAAUAUUGGACAAUGGACCAAAAGUCUGAUCCAGCAAUUCUGUGUGCACGAUGACGUUUUUCGGAAUGUAAAGUGCUUUCAGUUGGGAAGAAAAAAAUGACGGUACCAACAGAAGAAGUGACGGCUAAAUACGUGCCAGCAGCCGCGGUAAUACGUAUGUCACAAGCGUUAUCCGGAUUUAUUGGGCGUAAAGCGCGUCUAGGUGGUUAUGUAAGUCUGAUGUGAAAAUGCAGGGCUCAACUCUGUAUUGCGUUGGAAACUGCAUGACUAGAGUACUGGAGAGGUAAGCGGAACUACAAGUGUAGAGGUGAAAUUCGUAGAUAUUUGUAGGAAUGCCGAUGGGGAAGCCAGCUUACUGGACAGAUACUGACGCUAAAGCGCGAAAGCGUGGGUAGCAAACAGGAUUAGAUACCCUGGUAGUCCACGCCGUAAACGAUGAUUACUAGGUGUUGGGGGUCGAACCUCAGCGCCC